UACGAAGGGGGCUAGCGUUGUUCGGAAUUACUGGGCGUAAAGCGCGCGUAGGCGGUCUUUUAAGUCGGGGGUGAAAUCCUGGAGCUCAACUCCAGAACUGCCUUCGAUACUGGAAGACUUGAGUCCGGGAGAGGUGAGUGGAACUGCGAGUGUAGAGGUGAAAUUCGUAGAUAUUCGCAAGAACACCAGUGGCGAAGGCGGCUCACUGGCCCGGUACUGACGCUGAGGCACGAAAGCGUGGGGAGCAAACAGG
rnacentral:rRNA from 1 species